GGAGAGGUGGCCGAGCGGCUGAAGGUGCACGACUGGAAAUCGUGUGUGGGCUAACACUCACCGAGGGUUCGAAUCCCUCCCUCUCCGCCA
rnacentral:tRNA from 1 species